UUUGACAUAUGUCUGACUUGACCACGUUGGGCAUUAUUUUGGUCCUAAGACAGCCCUGUGAGGUAGGUAGGCAAAGAUUAUUGUUGCUACUUUACAGGUAUGGAAACUGAGGGUCAGGAGGGUAAGUGACUUACACAAGGUCGCCAAGCUAAUGUGUGUCAAGGUGGUUCGCGGAGGUGAGGAAUGGAAGGGGGAUUUGUAAAGGGUCUCCUGAUUUUCAAGUGAAGGCUUUCUAGGGGGGUGCUCUUACUAUUUGGAGAAAUGACAUGUUAAUAAGAGAUAUCUGUGGGCAAAUACAUUUGAAAUAAGAAUAUGAUUCAUUUGCAAUCUUUCAAAAGAGGUUGUCAAAAUAAAUUCCAAGUCAACAUAUUUAAAAAUAUAUUUAUUGAGGUUUUCUAUGUGCCCGGUACUGGACCUGGUGAUCAUGCAUUUUCAGCAGACUUGCUGAAUGAACGCUACCCAGGAGCGACGCAAUGCCAUCACACAUCCUUCUUGGGAGCAACUCGAAAGCCUGCCUUUCGAGUUUACUUCUGUUACUCUCUCAGCUCAAGGCCUGAGUCAUUUCACUAAAUGAGUGUUCUGCCUUGGCCCUCUCCCAGUCAACAGCUGCAAGGUACCAGAUUGGCACGAAGCAGUUAGGCUUGUUUUUGUUCUUUGAGUCCUUGAUACUCAAAGGGCGCGAGGGAUCCCGUGAGAGUGAGUCCUUUGCAGUGGAGAGUGAAGAGAGCCCGACUGCUCAUUUGGAAGCUAAUUAACUGACAAGUCUUGGAGGAUGAACACUUUACCCAGGCUGGAGGACAUGGGGACCCCAGGAGUCCAGGAGGAUAUUUCAUCUGAACCAAGUCCGGGGGAGGACAUUCUGGAGAGGGAAGACAUGAAGGCAAGAAGAGCAUGUCAUCUUCUGGGUGCAAGUAAUUCCACGUGCUCCUUUAGAAGCAGAGUGACGGGAGCAGAAAGGGGCAGGAGUUGGAUGGACCAGGCAACACACAUGAAGAUUUCACAUCGAGUGUUAUUCACAACAAAUGACAUUAAGGUCAUACAAGAGAAAACAGUCAGCCUUCUCGGUUUUAGCUGGAGACAGAGUUUGUCUGCAAAUCCACAAUGACACAAUGGAAUCACCAGUAGAAGAGACAUCUCAGCUGGCUUGGCUGACUGGAAGUUACUCAGAAGGGAUUUGCUGGUUGGAGAGUCAGCCACAGCUGUAUCAUCUUGAUAUCAGUCAAAUGAAUGGCACUGUGGUUAUUGCUUCCAAUAACUAUUACCUCUUCACUAACA
rnacentral:lncRNA from 1 species